rnacentral:rRNA from 1 species
UACAGAGGGGGCAAGCGUUGUUCGGAAUUACUGGGCGUAAAGGGCGCGUAGGCGGCCUUCUAAGUCAAACGUGAAAUCCCUGGGCUCAACCCAGGAACUGCGUCCGAUACUGGAAGGCUUGAAUCCGGGAGAGGGAUGCGGAAUUCCAGGUGUAGCGGUGAAAUGCGUAGAUAUCUGGAGGAACACCGGUGGCGAAGGCGGCAUCCUGGACCGGUAUUGACGCUGAGGCGCGAAAGCCAGGGGAGCAAACGGG